rnacentral:rRNA from 1 species
ACUGUUUCGGCUAGGGGGUCAUCCCGACUUACCAACCCGAUGCAAACUGCGAAUACCGAAGAAUGUUAUCACGGGAGACACACGGCGGGUGCUAACGUCCGUCGUGAAGAGGGAAACAACCCAGACCGCCAGCUAAGGUCCCAAAGUCAUGGUUAAGUGGGAAACGAUGUGGGAAGGCACAGACAGCCAGGAUGUUGGCUUAGAAGCAGCCAUCAUUUAAAGAAAGCGUAAUAGCUCACUGGUCGAGUCGGCCUGCGCGGAAGAUGUAACGGGGCUAAACCAUGCACCGAAGCUGCGGCAGCGACACUAUGUGUUGUUGGGUAGGGGAGCGUUCUGUAAGCCGUUGAAGGUGUAUCGUGAGGUAUGCUGGAGGUAUCAGAAGUGCGAAUGCUGACAUAAGUAACGAUAAUGCGGGUGAAAAACCCGCACGCCGGAAGACCAAGGGUUCCUGUCCAACGUUAAUCGGGGCAGGGUGAGUCGACCCCUAAGGCGAGGCCGAAAGGCGUAGUCGAUGGGAAACAGGUUAAUAUUCCUGUACUUGGUGUUACUGCGAAGGGGGGACGGAGAAGGCUAUGUUAGCCGGGCGACGGUUGUCCCGGUUUAAGCAUGUAGGCGGAGGUUCCAGGUAAAUCCGGUACCUUUUUAACGCUGAGGUGUGAUGACGAGGCACUACGGUGCUGAAGUAACAAAUGCCCUGCUUCCAGGAAAAG